rnacentral:lncRNA from 1 species
GAGCCUUGGACACCUACUUGCAAGUCCUCAGGAGGAUGGGCUAUUGGAGAUCUGGGUUCCAAACACAGAGAUACUGGAAUGAAGAAGACAGCGGUUCUCUGAUGAGCUUUCUGGGAUUUGGAAGAGUUCAGGUCUUGAGGGACCUCGGUUUUCCCUCACAGGUGCCCCGUCCAUUCGACAGUCACUCCACGCUGUACAUCGUCCUGUGGCCAGCCAUGCUGAUGGUGCCUCCAGAGGCCGUGGAUUCUCCAUCUCAGACUGAGGGAUGCUCUCUCCUCAGGAGCUCCCUCCUAUCUCAGAAGAAAUCGCCUCUGGAAGGAUGCUGGAAUAUUCAUGGAGUCAUUCAGCCCACUGUCCUCCACCUGCUGACCCGAGGCUUAAAACGUGGACAGAUCUGCCCAAGGUGGCCAAGAACACAGUUGGAUUCAAGAUCUUCACUCUCCAUCAACAUACCAGGGGAAAUGGGGGCUGAUAGAAUCAUUGGUCACAAAGGUGUCGCUUGCCAGGAAGACCUGAAGCAGAGAUGGCAAUGCUUGUGUCAUCCCCAGAGCUAA